GAGUCCAUAGUUAAACAUAGUUAAAUAGGCACCAGCACACCAGUAAUCUUCUCUGAGGUUUGCAUCUGAGAACCCACACUCAUCAAGGCAGCGAAAGCUUUAGUUGGUUUUAAUUGCCAAGGUGGCUGCUGAAAGUAGCACUAGAUUGAGAGCCCAUGAAGACCCAGUUCCUCACCUUGACCCUGCACUCAUGAGCUAUCUGUCACUGGACGCUCAGCCUUUCUCUGUUCUUCAGUUCCCUCCUGUGCAAAAAUGAGGGCAUUGAACAACACGAACCAGCAUGUCCUUUUCAGCUCUCAGUGCCAUGACUUAUGCAUAUUGGAGAAAGGGACAAUUCCAAAGUUGCAGGAAUGCAAAUCAGGAGGAUUUCAUAGCCCAAACGUACCACCCUAAAGGUUUCCAAGUCUACACUUCAGUGCACAAUGACAUCUGUGAGGUCAUGGUGUUUGGUUACUACACUUUCAAUAGGAAUUACAUGAAAAUCAGGCAGCCAAAGGGAAGGAGAGAAGCCUUACCCAUGAAGAGUGUCUUUCAAGCCCUGUCAGUUUGCGAUGACAGGACUGUGGGGAUGGGAAGAAAGUGAGAAAGGCGAACUAACUUUGCCCCAUAAGUGAGGGCCCUGCCGUCCUAGCUUCCUCAGCCCCUGCCCUUUUCCUCUGGGCUCAGGCUUUGCUGCUCCCUGGAGCAUCUUGAGCACUGAGUUCUCCAGCAAGACAGUAGCAGGGGCAGCAGGCAGCCCCCAAUGACCUGAGUGAUGGCCUUCGCAAGAUCAUAACUACCAUGCAGGAAGCACUCUAAAGCUCACACACUUCCUCUGUAGCCUUCACAGUGUCAGGCAGGAAAUGGUUAAGCAGGGAAGGCCCUGUGCUUGGCGCUGCAGGCAGGGGAGGGGCAGGGAUUAAUUACACUGCACAGGAAGUGUAGGCCUCCAUCUCUCUGCCCAAUGGGGAAAUCCAUUUUCAAUUCUGACCUCAAUAGGGAAGUUACUCUUCCUGCCAAAAGGAGUGGAAUACAACGUCCCCACGCCCAGAGCGUGGAACCAGAAGACAGAACACAGAGAGAAGCAGCACCAAUGGUCCACGAAACUUGCAACAGACAGAGCCGGCAGCCUGAUGGAGACAGUCAUCCCUAGUAGUCCAGGGAUGGGACAACUCUCGAUCUAUGGCCACUGAAACACAGGAUAAGGCAGGGAAGCACGAAAAUGCCGUCUGCUGUGAAAUGGGAAUAGCAGGAGACACAGAGAAAUGUCUGCAGAACCCAGAACCAGACACACCAGACCACAUGGCCCACAGGUGCCUUGGCAAAGAGGAAGAGGAAGAAAAUAUCCUGCUGAAGAACUCCCCCGGAAAUUGUUUCAGGUGGACAACUGGCCCGGGAGCAUCCCGCCCUAUGGUUUGAGUCUGGGAUCUGAUGCGUAGAGAUGCUUGGGAAACAGUUGAAAGGUUUAGUUCCUCAUUCAUUGGUGGUCCAGUAGAAUACACUACCAACCUCUGCCCUCCUGGCUCCCGCAUAUAAGACCAAAGGACUUCAGUGAAUUAAGGACCUGGUGCCUUCCAGCUGAGACCCUUGUACACUGCUCUUCCGGUGUCCUUCUGUGAGCCGGCCUUGUCCUCGCUGCUGGGGAGGUGGUCUUGCACCUGAUGCACAGGGUACCAGGACAUCCCAAUAGUCUCAGCUGCAGAGAAUCUGUAGGGAAGCCCAGAGCAGGAAAAGGGAGGGGGGUUUUGAGGGACACAGAGGACGUGGUGGAGAUUUGGGUAACCCAACCAGUGCGAGAGCAGUGGAUAACAGCAGUGGAUGAGAGCAGUGGUGAGAACAUUGGAUGAGAACAGUGGUGAGAGCAAUGGUGAGAGCAGUGGUGAAAGCAGUGGAUGAGAGCAGUGGAUGAGAGCAGUGGUGAGAG